rnacentral:rRNA from 1 species
UAGGGAAUCUUCGGCAAUGGGGGGAACCCUGACCGAGCAACGCCGCGUGAGUGAAGAAGGUUUUCGGUUCGUAAAGCUCUGUUGUUAAGGAAGAACGAGUGUGAGAAUGGAAAGUUCAUGCUGUGACGGUACUUAACCAGAAAGCCACGGCUAACUACGUGCCAGCAGCCGCGGUAAUACGUAGGUGGCAAGCGUUGUCCGGAUUUAUUGGGCGUAAAGCGAGCGCAGGCGGUCAAUUAAGUCUGAUGUGAAAGCCCCCGGCUCAACCGGGGAGGGUCAUUGGAAACUGGUUGACUUGAGUGCAGAAGAGGAGAGUGGAAUUCCAUGUGUAGCGGUGAAAUGCGUAGAUAUAUGGAGGAACACCAGUGGCGAAGGCGACUCUCUGGUCUGUAACUGACGCUGAUGUGCGAAAGCGUGGGAAUCAAACAGG